GGACUGGUAGCUCAACGGACAGAGCGCAUCCUUCCUAAGGAUAAGAUACAGGUUCGAUUCCUGUUCAGCCCA
rnacentral:tRNA from 1 species